rnacentral:rRNA from 1 species
UACGUAGGGGCAAGCGUUGUCCGGAAUCAUUGGGCGUAAAGAGCGUGUAGGCGGCUUUGCAAGUCCGUUGUGAAAACUCGAGGCUCAACCUCGAGACGCCGGUGGAAACUGCAAAGCUAGAGUCCGGAAGAGGAGAGUGGAAUUCCUGGUGUAGCGGUGAAAUGCGUAGAUAUCUGGAGGAACACCGGUGGCGAAGGCGGCAUCCUGGACCAACACUGACGCUGAGGAGCGAAAGCCAGGGGAGCAAACGGG